rnacentral:rRNA from 1 species
UGAGGAGUAUUGGUCAAUGGGCGCAAGCCUGAACCAGCCAUCCCGCGUGCAGGAAGGCGGCCCUAUGGGUUGUAAACUGCUUUUCCAGGGGGAGAAUUUUUCUGUCGUGACAGGAAUUGACGGUACCCUGGGAAUAAGCAUCGGCUAACUCCGUGCCAGCAGCCGCGGUAAUACGGAGGAUGCGAGCGUUAUCCGGAUUUAUUGGGUUUAAAGGGUGCGUAGGCGGAUUGAUAAGUCAGUGGUGAAAACCUGCAGCUUAACUGUAGACUUGCCGUUGAUACUGCCAGUCUUGAGUGUGGUCAAGGUAGGCGGAAUGUGUAAUGUAGCGGUGAAAUGCUUAGAUAUUACACAGAACACCGAUUGCGAAGGCAGCUUACUGGGCCAUUACUGACGCUGAGGCACGAAAGCGUGGGGAUCGAACAG